GUAGCUCAGUGGUAGAGUGGUUAGCUAUCUUGUAGGAAGCCUGGAGGUCCAUCUAAGCCCUGCAUAAGAACAGAUGUGGUGGCACUCAAGAGGCAGAAGCAGGAGGAGCAGAAGUUCAAGGCCAUCCUUGGCUACAUAGUGAGUCUAAGGCCAGACUGGGACACCUGAGACCCUAUUAAAAAGGGUUGGGGGACCAGGAUGGUCUACCAUUAGCACGCAGAUGUGGCAGUGGGAGACAUUCUAGACCAGCAGCAGGCAGGGCAGGGCCCCAUACCUGUUCAACCUUGUCCUUUGAGAAACCAGGAAAUACAAGUUCACUGUUACCUGUGGCUCCGGUAAAAGACUGAGUGUGUGACUGAAUUAUGAACUGGACCUGUAGUACACAGCAGGGAGAAUCUCGGGGAAGCCCUUGUCAAGCCGCAGAGCCAGAGAGGAGGAAGCUGGUCGGAAGGAGUGGGGCUCUGGAUGUCAUGUGCAAACCACCAGGAGAGCUUUUCAAUUGCCUCUCACCAAACCCUCAUUACUGUUGGCAGGUAAUAAAAC
rnacentral:lncRNA from 1 species